GGACGGGUGGCCUAGCUUGGAUAGGGCAGCGGUCUCCUAAGCCGCAGGUCCCGGGUUCAAAUCCCGGCCCGUCCG
rnacentral:tRNA from 1 species